rnacentral:rRNA from 1 species
UGGGGAAUAUUGCGCAAUGGGGGGAACCCUGACGCAGCCAUGCCGCGUGAAUGAAGAAGGCCUUCGGGUUGUAAAGUUCUUUCGGUAUUGAGGAAGGUUGAUGUGUUAAUAGCACAUCAAAUUGACGUUAAAUACAGAAGAAGCACCGGCUAACUCCGUGCCAGCAGCCGCGGUAAUACGGAGGGUGCGAGCGUUAAUCGGAAUAGCUGGGCGUAAAGGGCACGCAGGCGGUUAUUUAAGUGAGGUGUGAAAGCCCCGGGCUUAACCUGGGAAUUGCAUUUCAGACUGGGUAACUAGAGUACUUUAGGGAGGGGUAGAAUUCCACGUGUAGCGGUGAAAUGCGUAGAGAUGUGGAGGAAUACCGAAGGCGAAGGCAGCCCCUUGGGAAUGUACUGACGCUCAUGUGCGAAAGCGUGGGGAGCAAACAGGAUUAGAUACCCUGGUAGUCCACGCUGUAAACGCUGUCGAUUUGGGGGUUGGGGUUUAACUCUGGCACCCGUAGCUAACGUGAUAAAUCGACCGCCUGGGGAGUACGGCCGCAAGGUUA